GGCGGCAGGCUUAACACAUGCAAGUCGAGCGGAAACGAUGAUAGCUUGCUAUCAGGCGUCGAGCGGCGGACGGGUGAGUAAUACUUAGGAAUCUACCUAGUAGUGGGGGAUAGCUCGGGGAAACUCGAAUUAAUACCGCAUACGUCCUACGGGAGAAAGCAGGGGAUCAUUAGACCUUGCGCUAUUAGAUGAGCCUAAGUCGGAUUAGCUAGAUGGUGGGGUAAAGGCCUACCAUGGCGACGAUCUGUAGCUGGUCUGAGAGGAUGAUCAGCCACACCGGGACUGAGACACGGCCCGGACUCCUACGGGAGGCAGCAGUGGGGAAUAUUGGACAAUGGGGGGAACCCUGAUCCAGCCAUGCCGCGUGUGUGAAGAAGGCCUUUUGGUUGUAAAGCACUUUAAGCAGUGAAGAAGACUCUUCGGUUAAUACCCGGGGACGAUGACAUUAGCUGCAGAAUAAGCACCGGCUAACUCUGUGCCAGCAGCCGCGGUAAUACAGAGGGUGCAAGCGUUAAUCGGAAUUACUGGGCGUAAAGCGAGCGUAGGUGGCUUGAUAAGUCAGAUGUGAAAUCCCCGGGCUUAACCUGGGAACUGCAUCUGAAACUGUUAGGCUAGAGUAGGUGAGAGGGAAGUAGAAUUUCAGGUGUAGCGGUGAAAUGCGUAGAGAUCUGAAGGAAUACCGAUGGCGAAGGCAGCUUCCUGGCAUCAUACUGACACUGAGGCUCGAAAGCGUGGGUAGCAAACAGGAUUAGAUACCCUGGUAGUCCACGCCGUAAACGAUGUCUACUAGUCGUUGGGUCCCUUGAGGACUUAGUGACGCAGCUAACGCAAUAAGUAGACCGCCUGGGGAGUAC
rnacentral:rRNA from 1 species